rnacentral:rRNA from 1 species
UACGUAGGGGGCAAGCGUUGUCCGGAAUUAUUGGGCGUAAAGAGCGUGUAGGCGGUCCGGUAAGUCAGCUGUGAAAGUCCAGGGCUCAACCCUGGGAUGCCGGUCGAUACUGCCGGACUAGAGUUCGGAAGAGGCGAGUGGAAUUCCCGGUGUAGCGGUGAAAUGCGCAGAUAUCGGGAGGAACACCUAUGGCGAAGGCAGCUCGCUGGGACGUUACUGACGCUGAGACGCGAAAGCGUGGGGAGCAAGCAGG